rnacentral:sRNA from 1 species
AUGUACCACUCGUACACUCCGGUUCUUAGCGCGCCGUCCGCACCCACCUGACGACCGCUCUCUACCUUUUGUUCGCC